UACGGGGGGGGCAAGCGUUGUUCGGAAUUACUGGGCGUAAAGGGCUCGUAGGCGGCCAACUAAGUCGGAUGUGAAAUCCCCAGGCUUAACCUGGGAACUGCAUCCGAUACUGGAUGGCUUGAAUUCGGGAGAGGGAUGCAGAAUUCCAGGUGUAGCGGUGAAAUGCGUAGAUAUCUGGAGGAAUACCGGUGGCGAAGGCGGCAUCCUGGACCGAGAUUGACGCUGAUGAGCGAAAGCUAGGGGAGCAACGGG
rnacentral:rRNA from 1 species